CAGGUGUACACAGGAGCCCUGCGGAGUAAUAUCACCCUGCAGAGUAUACACUGACCAUACAGAGGUCAGAUACCAGGUGUACACAGGAGCCCUGCGGAGUAAUAUCACCCUGCAGAGUAUACACUGACCAUACAGAGGUCAGAUACCAGGUGUACACAGGAGCCCUGCGGAGAAAUAUCACCCUGCAGAGUAUACACUGACCAUACAGAGGUCAGAUACCAGGUGUACACAGGAGCCCUGCAGAGUAAUAUCACCCUGCAGAGUAUACACUGACCAUACAGAGGUCAGAUACUAGGUGUACACAGGAGCCCUGCGGAGUAAUAUCACCCUGCAGAGUGUACACUGACCAUACAGAGGUCAGAUACCAGGUGUACACAGGAGCCCUGCAGAGUAAUAUCACCCUGCAGAGUAUACACUGACCAUACAGAGGUCAGAUACCAGAUGUACACAGGAGCCCUGCGGAGUAAUGUCACCCUACAGAGUAUACACUGACCAUACAGAGGUCAGAUACCAGGUGUACACAGGAGCCCUGCGGAGUAAUAUCACCCUGCAGAGUGUACACUGACCAUACAGAGGUCAGAUACCAGGUGUACACAGGAGCCCUGCGGAGUAAUAUCACCCUGCAGAGUGUACACUGACCAUACAGAGGUCAGAUACCAGGUGUACACAGGAGCCCUGCAGAGUAAUAUCACCCUGCAGAGUAUACACUGACCAUACAGAGGUCAGAUACCAGGUGUACACAGGAGCCCUGCGGAGUAAUAUCACCCUGCAGAGUAUACACUGACCAUACAGAGGUCAGAUACCAGGUGUACACAGGAGCCCUGCGG